CCGCGGCCUGGACGCCGGACUCCCGCCCGCCGUGGCCGCCGAGGGUCCGGGCCCGGCCGGCGCUGACUCGUUUUCUCCAACUUUCAGCCUGCGGCACGCCGGCCCCAGCCCCAGCCUCGCCAGCGUCCGGUCGCCGGCAGCACGGGGUCGUGGUGGUCGGGGCAGGUCCGCGGAGCCCGCCUGCUGCCCGCCCCAGCCAUGGCGGGCCGGCGGCGUGACCCUGAAGUGGGAAAGCGCAGCCAGACGCCGGAUUAGCCGCGCCGCCGCCACGGAGGCCCUGCUCCCGGAGCGCUCGGGAGUCGCGCUUCCGAUGCGAGCAGAGGGGGCUUUGGGGUUCUUUGGGGGUUCGGUUUUUUCCCUCCCUGUAAAGGCUGCAUGUCUUCCCUCAUCAGCUGUUAGGUUAAAAGUGAAGAAUCAAAUUUCGCUUGUGUUUGGUUGCCGUGUUGGCACGUGUUAAUCUCAGUGUGUUGGCUGAAGUUUAGGGUAAAGAGAAGUCUCCAGACGCUUUGAAGGAUAAUUCCUACUUUGAAAACCCAAAGCCUAAGCGUCUGGCAUAAUCUACUCCCAGUAAGUGGUAACCGUCUUGGCAUUCUUGAGCGCCAUGCAAAGCUUACGCAAACAUCUGGUUUUUCUGGCUGGAGGCUGCCCUGUCAAAUGUCUUCUUUACACAGGAUAGAAUCCCCUGUCUUGUUUGGGAGAGGGGAUGUAUUUCGUUCUAGAAAUCUCACGCCAGAAUCAGCAGUCAUAGUCACUGGAGAAACAUACAUUGGAUAUCAGCUAUGGGACAUGCUGGGAACUCAAGAGAUUCAUAAAAUUUGGGUCUUGUCUUUAGGGAUUGUAGUGGGAGGGAGUGUCAAGAUUAAUUAAAGUAAAAUACCUUAAAAUAUUUGAAA